rnacentral:rRNA from 1 species
GACGAACGCUGGCGGCGUGCUUAACACAUGCAAGUCGAGCGGUAAGGCCCUUUCGGGGGUACACGAGCGGCGAACGGGUGAGUAACACGUGGGUGACCUGCCCUUAGCUCUGGGAUAAGCCUGGGAAACUGGGUCUAAUACCGGAUAUGACUCCAUGACGCAUGUUGUGGGGUGGAAAGCCUUGUGCGGCUAGGGAUGGGCCCGCGGCCUAUCAGCUUGUUGGUGGGGUGAUGGCCACCAAGGCGACGACGGGUAGCCGGCCUGAGAGGGCGACCGGCCACACUGGGACUGAGACACGGCCCAGACUCCUACGGGAGGCGGCAGUGGGGAAUCUUGCGCAAUGGCGAAAGCCUGACGCAGCGACGCCGCGUGGGGAUGACGGCCU